AUCAGCAACGUUGUUUACAAUCACUGACAGGGUCAGAGUUAAUUCGUUCCAACAUGGAGAAAUUUCACGGCUUGCAUGCGAGCUAGCUAAGUAAAUGAACAUCAUUGAGAAAGACCUUGGUGGAUUGUACUCUACAUAGGAAAUGAAGUGUACCGUAAUAUAGAUAAGAUAUCGGGAAAGAAUAUGUUUCGUUUAAGAGUAAAUAUUAUGGGAUCGUCGUCUUCACAAAAGCUGUGUGUCCUGUACCUACUACACCUGGGACAGAGAAUCCCUCGAUGUUUUCAACUGCCAUGGGUGAGACCUUACCUCAGACUAGGAACUAUCUGUAGUGUCACUGGACCUGACUCAGCCACUCCUUGUAGUAUCUCUACCAUUGACGGUAUUGGACCUGAUUCAGCUACUCUGAAUACAUCAACCAAUGACAGUAGCCAACAGACAGCAACAACAGUCAAUAGCCCUGAGUCUGGCUCUGGCCCCAGUACCUCUGACUCCCCUCCUGCCAAGGCCAAUGGCCCUCCACCGACUCCCACCCACUGCUGUAUGAGCGGUUGUCAUAACUGUGUAUGGAUCGAGCACACAGAACAGCUCCUAGCCUACUACCGUAAUGGAGGGUUGGGGAUAGAAAAGGCCCUGGCUGCUAUUGAGGAGAACGUCCCGGAUGAGAACCUAAAAGCGUUCCUAAAGAUGGAGAUCAGGAUGAUGAAGAAGUCAAGUUUUUAAGUAUGGCUUUGUGCGGCAGUGAGUGAGAGGGAAUGGGGACAUUGAGGGCAUUUUUAUACUGUAUGCACUUUAAAAUCACUCCCACAGAUUUGAAUACUGGUGUGCAUUUUAUCUUAUGAGUUUGUCAAACUGUCAUUUUACUUGUUCAAGGACAUUUUAACUAGCUUUUGUCAUUAUAAAAUAUUCUUACUUACUAUAGAUUGGGUAUUUUACAUGAGUAGCAUAAAUCAUGUAUUAUCAUUUUAUGUACAGUUGAAGUCGGAAGUUUACAUACACCUUAGCCAAAUACAUUUAAACUCAGUUUUUCACAAUUCCUGACAUUUUAAUCCUAGUAAAAAUUCCCUGUCUUAGGUCAGUCAAGAUCACUACUUUAUUUUAAGAAUGUGUAAUGUCAGAAGAAUAGUAGAAAGAAUGUUUUCUUUCAUCACAUUCCCAGUGGGUGAGAAGUUUACAUACACUCAAUUAGUAUUUGGUAGCAUUGCCUUUAAAUUGUUUAACUUGGGACAAAUGUUUCGGGUAGCCUUCCACAAGCUUGACACGAUAAGUUGGUUGAAUUUUGGCCCAUUCCUCCUCAUAGAGCUCGUGUAACUGAGUCAGGUUUGUAGGCCUCCUUGCUCGCUUUUUCAGUUCUGCCCACAAAUGUUCUAUGGGGUUGAGGUCAGGGCUUUGUGAUGGCCACUCCAAGACCUUGACUUUGUUGUCCUUUAAGCCAUUUUACCACAACUUUGGAAGUAUGCUUGGGGUCAUUGUCCAUUGGUAAGACCCAUUUGCGACCAAGAUUUAACUUCCUGACUAAUGUCUUGAUGUUGCUUCAAUAUAUCCACAUAAUUUUCCUCCUGAUGAUGCCAUCUAUUUUGUGAAGUGCACCAGUCCCUCCUGCAGCACAGCACCCCCCCCAAAUUAUGCUUCCACCCCCGUGCUUCACGGUUGGGAUGGUGUUCUUUGGCUUGCAAACCUCCCCCUUUUUCCUACAAACAUAACAAUGGUCAUUAUGGCCAAACAGUUAUUUUUUUUUCAUCAGACCAGAGGACAUUUCUCUAAAAAGUACGAUCUUUGUCCCCAUGUGCAGUUGCAAACUGUAGUCUGGCUUUUUUUAUGGCAGUUUUGGAGCAGUGGCUUCUUCCUUGCUGAGUGGCCUUUCAGGUUAUGUCGAUAUGGGACUCGUUUUACUGUGAAUAUAGAUACCUUUUUACCUUUUUCUCCAGCUUCUUCUCAAGCUCCUUUGAUGUUGUUCUGGGUUUGAUUUGCACUUUUCGCACCAAAGUACGUUCAUCUCCAGGAGACAGAAUGCGCCUCCUUCCUGAGCGGUAUGGCGGCUGCGUGGUCCCAUGGUGUUUAUACUUGCGUACUAUUGUUUGCACAGAUGAACGUGGUACCUUGAGGUGUUUGGAAAUUGCUACCAAGGAUGAACCAUACUUGUGGAGGUCUACACAUUGUUUUCUGAGGUCUUGGCUGAUUUCUUUUGAUUUUCCCAUGAUGUCAAGCAAAGAGACACUGAGUUUAAAGGUAGGCCUUGAAAUACAUCCACAGGUACACCUCCAAUUGACUCAAAUUAUGUCAAUUAGCCUAGCAGAAGCUUCUAAAGCCAUGACAUCAUUUUCUGGAAUUUUCCAAGCUGUUUAAAGGCACAGUCAACUUAGUGUAUGUAGACUUCUCACCCACUGGAAUUGUGAUACAGUGAAUUAUAAGUGAAAUAAUCCGUCUGUAAACAAUUGUUUGAAAAAUGACUCGUGUCAUACACAAAGUAGUUAACCUAACCAAUUUACCAAAACUAUAGUUUGUUAACAAGACAUUUGUGGAGUGGUUGAAAAAUGUAAUCUUCCGACUUCAACGGUAGCCUCGCUACUGUCAUUUUACUGUUUUUAAUUUUCUUAUUUAUUUACUUAUCUAUUGUUUACCUCAUACCUAUUUUAUAUUUAUAAAUUGCACUGUUGGUUAGGGCUUGUAAGUGCAUUCGGUGCACGUGACAAACUUUGGUUUGAUAGUGAUUUGAUAGUUAGCUGAGACUUCAAAUUCAAUACGCACAAUUAUAAUUGAUGGAUUAACAUUUUGACCUGUUUGAGGUAUAUGGACUGAAUACAUUUUCAUAUUGGUUGAUGUGUUAUUGUAUUAUCUAAAUUAUAAGUAUGUUGAUGAUGGACAACAUAUGUGUGAAAUAAAUAUUGUACUUGUGUGAAUGAA